GUGUGUGUGUGUGCAUGCGUGUGUGUGUGUGUGUGUGUGUGUGUGUGUGUGUCAGUCAUUGUCAUUGGGAGACAUUGGCUCAGGAGUAUCUGCUGCUGAAACAGAGACUGGGUGCUGUGGAGUGAUAGAUCAUUCCUGCUGGAAGUGGCUCUGAUAUCUGUGUACUUACUAUCACUUAGUCUGGAUUUAUGUUUGUUCAUCUGCCAACGGAAGAAACAGGGAAAUAUCUGUUUUUGUAUGGAGAACUGUAAAAACCAAACUUUUCUGUCUCAGACAGUUUUGAUUGGUAGCCAUGAAUUAAAAACAAAUUAAUAAAA